CCCUUAGAUGUCCUGGGCUGCACGCGCGCUACACUGAUGUGUCCAGUAAGCACCUAACCUCUUCCGAAAGGAACGGGUAACCUUUGCAAAGCACAUCGUGAUGGGGAUAGAUUAUUGCAAUUAUUACUCUUCAACGAGGAAUUCCUAGUAAGCGCAAGUCAGCAGCUUGCGCUGAUUACGUCCCUGCCCUUUGUACACACCGCCCGUCGCUCCUACCGAUGGGUGAUCCGGUGAGUGAUUCGGACUUCAGCGGCUCCUCUGGGGUGCGCCGGAGAAAGUUUUGUGAACCUUAUCACUUGGAGGAAGGAGAAGUCGUAACA
rnacentral:rRNA from 1 species